AACGAACGCUGGCGGCAGGCCUAACACAUGCAAGUCGAGCGGACCCUUCGGGGUUAGCGGCGGACGGGUGAGUAGCGCGUGGGAGUAUGCCCUUCUCUACGGAAUAGUCCUGGGAAACUGGGGGUAAUACCGUAUACGCCCUUUGGGGGAAAGAUUUAUCGGGGAAGGAUUAGCCCGCGUUGGAUUAGGUAGUUGGUGGGGUAAUGGCCUACCAAGCCGACGAUCCAUAGCUGGUUUGAGAGGAUGAUCAGCCACACUGGGACUGAGACACGGCCCAGACUCCUACGGGAGGCAGCAGUGGGGAAUCUUAGACAAUGGGGGCAACCCUGAUCUAGCCAUGCCGCGUGAGUGAUGAAGGCCUUAGGGUUGUAAAGCUCUUUCAGCUGGGAAGAUAAUGACGGUACCAGCAGAAGAAGCCCCGGCUAACUCCGUG
rnacentral:rRNA from 1 species